rnacentral:rRNA from 1 species
UUGGGCGAUCAUACCAGCAAUAACGCACCGGAUCCCAUCAGAACUCCGAAGUUAAGCUUGCUUGGGCGAAAGCAGUACUAGGAUGGGUGACCUCUUGGGAAGUCCUCGUGUUGCACCCCAC